rnacentral:rRNA from 1 species
AGAGUUUGAUCAUGGCUCAGGACGAACGCUGGCGGCGUGCUUAACACAUGCAAGUCGAACGGAAAGGCCCUUCGGGGUACUCGAGUGGCGAACGGGUGAGUAACACGUGGGUGAUCUGCCCUGCACUCUGGGAUAAGCCUGGGAAACUGGGUCUAAUACCGGAUAGGACCGCAUGCUUCAUGGUGUGUGGUGCAAAGCUUUUGCGGUGUGGGAUGAGCCCGCGGCCUAUCAGCUUGUUGGUGGGGUAAUGGCCUACCAAGGCGACGACGGGUAGCCGGCCUGAGAGGGUGACCGGCCACACUGGGACUGAGAUACGGCCCAGACUCCUACGGGAGGCAGCAGUGGGGAAUAUUGCACAAUGGGCGCAAGCCUGAUGCAGCGACGCCGCGUGAGGGAUGACGGCCUUCGGGUUGUAAACCUCUUUCAAUAGGGACGAAGCGCAAGUGACGGUACCUAUAGAAGAAGGACCGGCCAACUACGUGCCAGCAGCCGCGGUAAUACGUAGGGUCCGAGCGUUGUCCGGAAUUACUGGGCGUAAAGAGCUCGUAGGUGGUUUGUCGCGUUGUUCGUGAAAACUCACAGCUUAACUGUGGGCGUGCGGGCGAUACGGGCAGACUAGAGUACUGCAGGGGAGACUGGAAUUCCUGGUGUAGCGGUGGAAUGCGCAGAUAUCAGGAGGAACACCGGUGGCGAAGGCGGGUCUCUGGGCAGUAACUGACGCUGAGGAGCGAAAGCGUGGGGAGCGAACAGGAUUAGAUACCCUGGUAGUCCAA